rnacentral:tRNA from 1 species
GGCAAAAUACUUUAAAUCCAAAAGGUUUGAUUUGCAUUCAAUUAUUGAAACUUUAGUUUCUUUUGCCA